rnacentral:rRNA from 1 species
CAGUCGAACGAAGCACUUUAUUUGAUUUCCUUCGGGACUGAUUAUUUUGCCGAUUGAGUGGCGGACGGGUGAGUAACGCGUGGGUAACCUGCCUUGUACAGGGGGAUAACAGUUGGAAACGGCUGCUAAUACCGCAUAAGCGCACAGCAUCGCGUGAUGCAGUGUGAAAAACUCCGGUGGUAUAAGAUGGACCCGCGUUGGAUUAGCUAGUUGGUGAGGUAACGGCCCACCAAGGCGACGAUCCAUAGCCGACCUGAGAGGGUGACCGGCCACAUUGGGACUGAGACACGGCCCAAACUCCUACGGGAGGCAGCAGUGGGGAAUAUUGCACAAUGGAGGAAACUCUGAUGCAGCGACGCCGCGUGAGUGAAGAAGUAAUUCGUUAUGUAAAGCUCUAUCAGCAGGGAAGAUAGUGACGGUACCUGACUAAGAAGCUCCGGCUAAAUACGUGCCAGCAGCCGCGGUAAUACGUAUGGAGCAAGCGUUAUCCGGAUUUACUGGGUGUAAAGGGAGUGUAGGUGGCCAUGCAAGUCAGAAGUGAAAAUCCGGGGCUCAACCCCGGAACUGCUUUUGAAACUGUAAGGCUGGAGUGCAGGAGGGGUGAGUGGAAUUCCUAGUGUAGCGGUGAAAUGCGUAGAUAUUAGGAGGAACACCAGUGGCGAAGGCGGCUCACUGGACUGUAACUGACACUGAGGCUCGAAAGCGUGGGGAGCAAACAGGAUUAGAUACCCUGGUAGUCCACGCCGUANACGAUGAAUACUAGGUGUCGGGGCCNAAAA